GUUGUUUAUCCUUUUAGCUUUUUCGUGGUAGCAAAGAGAGACGAAGGAAGCGAUUAUCUGCAGCGCCGAUCAGGAAUGUAACCCAAACUUUUUCGUGGUAGCAGUGAGAGACGAAGGAAACGAUCAUCUGAAGCGCCGAUCAGGAAUUUAACCCAAAGAUCAGAGAGUUGCACACAAAAUCAUGGGUAGAGAUGCUCUCUCCACUCGUAUUGAGGCUAUUGACAAAAAGCUAGC